AAGCCCGCCAGACUGCCGCUGGUGCAAGCCGAAAGGUCGGUGCGUGAGCGCCGGGUGGAAACACCGCAUUGGAGGAACGUCCGGACUGCACAGGGCAGCGUAGCAGCUAACGGCUGUCCGCUGAAACCCGGUUGCGCGAGCAGUCGGCAUAAGGCGAGGAUCAGAGCAACAGAGACGAGUCGCCGAGCAGGGCAACCUGUUCGGCGGGUGAAACGGGCAAUCUCUACGCGCAGCAAUACCAAAUAGGCACACGCGGGACGCAGCAGUUCGCUGCCGCGUCCUACCCGGGGCCCCCGGGAUGUGUGCGGGUAGGUAGCACCGAGCCGCUGGGCGACCAGCGGCCCAGAUGAAUGGCAGUCACGCUAGGGGCAACCCCGGCGCACAGAAUCCGGCUUAUCGGUGGGCUUCACAC
rnacentral:RNase_P_RNA from 1 species